rnacentral:rRNA from 1 species
GACGAACGCUGGCGGCGUGCUUAACACAUGCAAGUCGAACGGAAAGGCCCUGCUUUUGUGGGGUGCUCGAGUGGCGAACGGGUGAGUAACACGUGAGUAACCUGCCCUUGACUUUGGGAUAACUUCAGGAAACUGGGGCUAAUACCGGAUAGGAGCUCCUGCUGCAUGGUGGGGGUUGGAAAGUUUCGGCGGUUGGGGAUGGACUCGCGGCUUAUCAGCUUGUUGGUGGGGUAGUGGCUUACCAAGGCUUUGACGGGUAGCCGGCCUGAGAGGGUGACCGGCCACAUUGGGACUGAGAUACGGCACAGACUCCUACGGGAGGCAGCGGUGGGGAAUGUUGCACAAUGGGCGGAAGCCUGAUGCAGCGACGCCGCGUGCGGGAUGACGGCCUUCGGGUUGUAAACCGCUUUCGCCUGUGACGAAGCGUGAGUGACGGUAAUGGGUAAAGAAGCACCGGCUAACUACGUG